AGAGUUUGAUCCUGGCUCAGAACGAACGCUGGCGGCAUGCCUUAUACAUGCAAGUCGAACGAGAAAGUCACUUCGGUGGCGAGUACAGUGGCGCACGGGUGAGUAACGCGUAGAUGAUCUACCCUUCAGUCUGGGACAACUCUUGGAAACGGGAGCUAAUACCGGAUAAAACCUUCGGGUUGAAAGAUUUAUCGCUGGGGGAUGAGUCUGCGUACCAUUAGCUUGUUGGUGGGGUAACGGCCUACCAAGGCGACGAUGGUUAGCGGGUCUGAGAGGACGAUCCGCCACACUGGAACUGAGACACGGUCCAGACUCCUACGGGAGGCAGCAGUAGGGAAUAUUGCGCAAUGGGGGCAACCCUGACGCAGCAAUGCCGCGUGAGUGAAGAAGGCCUUCGGGUCGUAAAGCUCUUUUAUGGGGGAAGAUGAUGACGGUACCCCAUGAAUAAGCACCGGCUAACUACGUGCCAGCAGCCGCGGUAAUACGUAGGGUGCGAGCGUUGUUCGGAAUUACUGGGCGUAAAGGGCGUGCAGGCGGAUUGGCAAGCCGGAGGUGAAAGCCCGGGGCUCAACCCCGGAGGGUCUUUCGGAACUGCCAGUCUUGAGAGGGUCAGGGGCCAGCGGAAUUCCUGGUGUAGAGGUGAAAUUCGUAGAGAUCAGGAGGAACACCGGCGGCGAAAGCGGCUGGCUGGGGCCACUCUGACGCUGAGGCGCGAAAGCGUGGGGAGCAAACAGGAUUAGAUCCCCUGGUAGUCCACGCCGUAAACGAUGGGCACUAAGCGUCCGACGGGUUCGACCCUGUUGGGUGCUGCAGUUAACGCGUUAAGUGCCCCGCCUGGGGAGUACGGUCGCAAGACUAAAACUCAAAGGAAUUGACGGGGGCCCGCACAAGCGGUGGAGCAUGUGGUUU
rnacentral:rRNA from 1 species